rnacentral:rRNA from 1 species
AUUGAACGCUGGCGGCAUGCUUUACACAUGCAAGUCGGACGAGUGGCGAACGGGUGAGUAACGCAUCGGAACGUACCGAGUAAUGGGGGAUAACUGUCCGAAAGGACAGCUAAUACCGCAUAUUAUUCGAGCGGCCGAUGUCUGAUUAGCGGGUUGGGGGGGUAAAGGCCCACAAAGGCGACGAUCAGUAGCGGGUCUGAGUGGAUGCUUGGCCCAACUGGGACGUGGACACGGCCACGGCUCCGACGGGAGGCAGCAGUGGGGAAUUGUGGACAAUGGGCGCAAGCCUGUUCCAGCCAUGCCGCGUGUCUGAGGAAGGCCUUCGGGUUGUAAAGGACUUUUGUCAGGGAAGCGGUACCUGAAGAAUAAGCACCGGCUAACUACGUGCCAGCAGCCGCGGUAAUAC